UGCCAGCCGCCGCGGUAAUACAGAGGGUGCAAGCGUUAAUCGGAAUUACUGGGCGUAAAGCGCACGUAGGUGGGCAAGUCAGUUGUUGGUGAAAAGCUCGGGCUUAACCUGAGUCUGCCCAGCAAAACUGCUAGCCUAGAGUGUAUUAGAGGGAAGUGGAAUUUCCGGUGUAGCAGUGAAAUGCGUAGAUAUCGGAAGGAACACCAGUGGCGAAGGCGACUUCCUGGAAUACUACUGACACUGAGGUGCGAAAGCGUGGGGAGCAAACAGGAUUAGAUA
rnacentral:rRNA from 1 species